AUACGUAGGGGGCGAGCGUUGUCCGGAAUGAUUGGGCGUAAAGGGCGCGUAGGCGGCGCGGUAAGUCUGGAGUGAAAGUCCUGCUUUCAAGGUGGGAAUUGCUUUGGAUACUGCCGCGCUUGAGUGCAGGAGAGGUUAUCGGAAUUCCCGGUGUAGCGGUGAAAUGCGUAGAGAUCGGGAGGAACACCAGUGGCGAAGGCGGGUAACUGGACUGCAACUGACGCUGAGGCGCGAAAGCGUGGGGAGCGAACAGGAUUAGAUACCCUGGUAGUCCACGCGGUAAACGAUGAAUACUAGGUGUUGCGGGUAUCGACCCCUGCAGUGCCGGAGUAAACACAAUAAGCAUUCCGCCUGGGGAGUACGGCCGCAAGGUUGAAACUCAAAGGAAUUGACGGGG
rnacentral:rRNA from 1 species